rnacentral:tRNA from 1 species
AUACGCGUAGUUCAACUGGCAGAAUAGUGGUCUCCAAAACCGAAGGUUGGGGGUUCAAGUCCCUCCGCGUAUG